rnacentral:rRNA from 1 species
UGGGGGAUUUUGGACAAUGGGCGCAAGCCUGAUCCAGCCAUGCCGCGUGUCUGAAGAAGGCCUUCGGGUUGUAAAGGACUUUUGUCAGGGAAGAAAAGGGCGGGGUUAAUACCCCUGUCUGAUGACGGUACCUGAAGAAUAAGCACCGGCUAACUACGUGCCAGCAGCCGCGGUAAUACGUAGGGUGCGAGCGUUAAUCGGAAUUACUGGGCGUAAAGCGGGCGCAGACGGUUACUUAAGCAGGAUGUGAAAUCCCCGGGCUCAACCUGGGAACUGCGUUCUGAACUGGGUGACUAGAGUGUGUCAGAGGGAGGUAGAAUUCCACGUGUAGCAGUGAAAUGCGUAGAGAUGUGGAGGAAUACCGAUGGCGAAGGCAGCCUCCUGGGAUAACACUGACGUUCAUGCCCGAAAGCGUGGGUAGCAAACA